rnacentral:misc_RNA from 1 species
UUAGAGUGCACAAUGAUUCUCCUGAUGAAGUCGCUGAGAGCUCAUACAGGAGAUUUUUGGUUGAUACACCCAUAAUAUUUGUUCCCCCAUCGGGGGACCUUACUGUCCCCGCUUGUGGCUUUGGUUCUUUCCAUCAGCAGUAUCUGAUUGAUGGACGGUUGGUUGCAGUUGGAGUCAUAGAUAUUCUCCCAAAGUGUUUGUCAAGUAAAUAUUUAUUCUGGGAUCCAGAUCUUGCCUUCUUAUCAUUAGGUAAGUAUUCAGCCCUUCAAGAAAUAAGGUGGGUUACACAGAAUCAAGUACAUUGCCCUAGUCUCCAGUACUAUUAUCUGGGUUACUACAUCCACUCCUGCAACAAAAUGAGAUACAAAGCAGCAUACCGGCCUUCUGAGCUACUCUGCCCUUUGCGAUAUAAGUGGGUUCCAUUUGAUGUUGCCAAGCCACUGCUCGACAUGAAAUCGUACAUGGUUUUAUCUGAUUUUGCCACACAAAAUGGGCAGCCUCUUCCUCCUAGUAACCUUGAAAAUUAUGAUGAGCAAAAUGAUCAACAACACUUUCACGG